rnacentral:rRNA from 1 species
AGCUCCAAUAGCGUAUAUUAAAGUUGUUGCAGUUAAAAAGCUCGUAGUUGAAUGUCUGGUUGUCGGGGGUUUCGGCUUCGGUCGUGCAACCGGCGGUCAUCCGCAUACGAAAUUAGUUCGGCCUUUACUGGUUCGGCUGAGGGAGUGUGCAUUUUACUUUGAAAAAAUUAGAGUGUUUCAGGCAGGCAAUCGUUUGAAUACAUUAGCAUGGAAUAAUGGAAUAUGACCUUGGUCAAUUUUGUUGGUUAUUUGACUUCGGUAAUGAUUAACAGGAACAGUUGGGGGCAUUAGUAUUUAAUUGUCAGAGGUGAAAUUCUUGGAUUUAUUAAAGACUAACUUAUGCGAAAGCAUUUGCCAAGGAUGUUUUCA